AGGGGUAUAGCUCAGUCGGUAGAGCAGCGGUCUCCAAAACCGCGUGUCGUGAGUUCGAAUCUUACUGCCCCUGCCA
rnacentral:tRNA from 2 species